ACGGUGGAUCACUUGGCUCGUGGGUCGAUGAAGAACGCAGC
rnacentral:rRNA from 2 species